GUCCAGACUCCUACGGGAGGCAGCAGUGAGGAAUAUUGGUCAAUGGCCGAAGGGCUGAACCAGCCAAGCCGCGUGAAGGAAUAAGGCCCUACGGGUCGUAAACUUCUUUAGUCAGGGAACAAAGGGAGCCACGCGUGGCGCUGUGAGUGUGCCUGAAGAAUAAGCAUCGGCUAACUCCGUGCCAGCAGCCGCGGUAAUACGGAGGAUGCGAGCGUUAUCCGGAUUUAUUGGGUUUAAAGGGAGCGUAGGCCGGCUUUUAAGUCAGCUGUGAAAGUCCGCGGCUCAACCGUGGAAUUGCAGUUGAAACUGGAGGCCUUGAGUGCACACAGGGAUGCCGGAAUUCAUGGUGUAGCGGUGAAAUGCUUAGAUAUCAUGAAGAACUCCGAUCGCGAAGGCAAGUGUCCGGGGUGCAACUGACGCUGAGGCUCGAAAGUGCGGGUAUCAAACAGGAUUAGAUACCCCGGUACA
rnacentral:rRNA from 1 species